rnacentral:rRNA from 1 species
GAUGAACGCUAGCGGGAGGCCUAACACAUGCAAGCCGAGCGGUAUUGUUUCUUCGGAAAUGCGAGAGCGGCGUACGGGUGCGUAACACGUGUGCAACCUGCCUUUAUCUGGGGGAUAGCCUUUCGAAAGGAAGAUUAAUACUCCAUAAUAUAUUGAACGGCAUCGUUUAAUAUUGAAAGCUCCGGCGGAUAGAGAUGGGCACGCGCAAGAUUAGCUAGUUGGUGAGGUAACGGCUCACCAAGGCGAUGAUCUUUAGGUGGCCUGAGAGGGUGAUCCCCCACACUGGUACUGAGACACGGACCAGACCCCUACGGGAGGCAGCAGUGAGGAAUAGUGGUCAAUGGGUGCAAGCCUGAACCAGCCAUCCCGCGUGAAGGACGACUGCCCUAGGGGUUGUAAACUUCUUUUGAAUAGGGAUAAACCUACCCUCGAGAGGGUAGCUGAAGGUACUAAACGAAUAAGCACCGGCUAACUCCGUG